rnacentral:rRNA from 1 species
CGCAAGCCUGAUGGAGCAACACCGCGUGAGUGAAGAAGGGUUUCGGCUACGUAAGCUCUGUUAGUUAAAGAAGAACACGUAUGAGAGUAACUGUUCAUACGUGACGGUAUUUAACAGAAAGUCACGGCUAACUACGUGCCAGCAGCCGCGGUAAUACGUAGGUGGCAAGCGUUAUCCGGAUUUAGUUGGGACGUAAAGAGAGUGCAGGUCGGUUUUUCUAAGUCUGAUGUGAAAGCCUUCGGCUUAACCGGAGAAGUGCAUCGGAAACUGGAUUAACUUGAGUGCAGAAGAGGGUAGUGGAACUCCAUGUGUAGCGGUGGAAUGCGUAGAUAUAUGGAAGAACACCAGUGGCGAAGGCGGCUACCUGGUCUGCAACUGACGCUGAGACUCGAAAGCAUGGGUAGCGAACAGGAUUAGAUACACUGGUAG